CCCGGAAGCGGGCGCCGGGCCUCCGGAGUCCCGCGCGCUUUUCGCUGUCCCGCCACGACCGGACGGGCUCCACGAUGGCGCAGGAGCCAGCGCUAGCCGCCUCCGCGCCUCCCGGUUCUCAGGCCCUUCUGGACGUUCUGCUCCAGAACCUCUACGACUUUGGAGAGACGGAAGAUGAAGCAGAGCAGAAAAGGAUCAGAAAGAAAAGAGAGAAGAAAAGAGAUAUGGGGACCCCAGGGGCCUUGGUUGCAGAGCCAGAUCUCCAACCUGGAUCUCUUGUCAGAGGCCAGAGGAAGAGUGCUUCCAGCUUCUUCCAGAAACUCCAGGAAGAGCUGCAGCGUGUUCCCGCCGUGACCCCUAGUGGUUUCCCUUCAGGACCUGUAGUCUCUAGUUCUGCAGUAGCCCCCUCUCCCCUGAGGAACGACAGGGAACCAGUAGAAGUGGUGGAAUUUCACAGCAGAAGUAGAAAAAGAAAACAGAAGCCCGAUCAAGACGAGAACACAAAGACCAAAACUAGUAUCCUCGAGAAAGAUGUGGAUGUACAAGAAUUUAACUUAGAAAAGGCUCGUUUGGAAGUGCACCGGUUUGGGAUCACAGGUUAUGGAAAAGGAAAGGAGAGAGUCCUGGAGCAGGGACGCGCCAUUAUGCUGGGCGCUAAGCCUCCCAAAAAUAGUUAUGUGAAUUACAAGGUUUUGCAGGAGCAAAUCAAAGAAAAAAAGUCUGCGAAGGAAAAAGUAAAGAGAACGGCCCAGGACACAGAUAUUUUCAAGAAAAAGAAGAGGAAAGGACAGGAAGACAGGAAAUCCAAAAAGAAGAAAUCGGCUCCCAGUAUUUUGUCAAGUGGACGGAUUGGACAGGUUGGAAAAUUCAAAAAUGGGACACUGAUUCUGAGCCAAGUUGAUAUCAAAAAAAUAAAUUCUUCCAGAGUGGCUAAAUGAAGUACUUUAUAAAAUAAAGAGAGAAAUGGGAAAGUGCCAGUGUACUGAAACUGGACCCCUACAAGACUUCCAGCUGCAAUGUGGAUCUGAAGUAAAACUGAAACCGUGUAACUCAGACUGGGACUUGAACCCACAGGCUUCCAGCUGAGGUCACACACCUGGUCUCAGGACUUCAUGAAGCUCAGGUUCUUGAUGUCUCAUCGCAGAAAGAAUUCAGCGAGAGACAAAGUGAUAGAUAGGUAAGAAGUGGAUUUAUUCAGAGACACACACUCCACAGACAGCGUGGGCCAUCUCAGAAGGCGAGAGCGGCACCAGGGUCUGGGGUUGUCCGUUUUAAUAGGGGUGGGUCAUUGCACAGUCUAAUGAGUGGUGAGAGUAUUCCAGCUGUUUGGGGGAAGGGGCGGGGAUUUCCAGGAACUGGGCCACCGCCCUCUUCUUGAUCCUUGUGGUCGCUCUUGGAACUGUCAUGGCGCCUGUGGGUGUGUCAUUUAGCUUGCUGAUGUGUUACAGUGAGCGUAUACUGGGGCUCAAGGUCUAGUGGAAGUCGACUCGU